AGAACUCAGGCCAGGCUGAACUUCCUCCAGCAGUAACUGAGGAGGGGAGAGACAGGACUUGGACACCUGGCAUCCAGCCAGAGUCAAGCCACCACAUUUUGAAAUCAGGGUUUUGGAAGCCACCCGUGCCUUUCACAUGACCACUCUGCUGCAUUCUGAGAAAAGGAGAAAUAGUUUUCUGCUGCUUUUGAAGGAACAGUAUCUGUAGCUGUCUU